GCUGAGCACAGUGGUGAGCACCUGUCUCUCAGCUACUCGUGAGGCUGAGACAGGAGGAUUGCUUGAACCCGGGAGUUUCUGGGCUAUAGUGAACUAUGCCGAUCAGGUGUCUGCACUAAGUUUGGCAUCAAUAUGGUGACCUCCUUUGGGUGGGGGGCCAGGUUGCCUAAGCAGGGGUGAACCAGCCCAGGGUGGAAAUGGAGCAGGUCAAAACUGCUGUGCUGAUCAGUAGUGGGAUCGUGCCUGUGAAUAGCCACUACACUACAGCCUGGACAACAUAGCAGGACCCCAUCGCU
rnacentral:SRP_RNA from 1 species